rnacentral:piRNA from 1 species
UGGACACAUCUGGGUGUUCACGGCGC